rnacentral:rRNA from 1 species
ACGGGUGAGUAACGCGUGAGCAACCUGACUCUUAGAGGGGGAUAACACUCGGAAACGGGUGCUAAUACCGCAUAAGACCACGACAUGGCAUCAUGACGAGGUCAAAGGAGCAAUCCGCUGAGAGAGGGGCUCGCGUCCCAUUAGAUAGAUGGCGGGGUAACUGCCCACCAUGUCAACGAUGGGUAGCCGAGCUGAGAGGCUGAUCGGCCACACUGGAACUGAGACACGGUCCAGACUCCUACGGGAGGCAGCAGUGGGGAAUAUUGGGCAAUGGGCGCAAGCCUGACCCAGCAACGCCGCGUGAGGGAAGAAGGCUUUCGGGUUGUAAACCUCUGUCCUUGGUGACGAAAAAAAUGACGGUAGCCAAGGAGGAAGCCCCGGCUAACUACGUGCCAGCAGCCGCGGUAAUACGUAGGGGGCGAGCGUUGUCCGGAAUUACUGGGCGUAAAGGGUGCGUAGGUGGCCUUUUAAGUUGGAUGUGAAAUACCCGGGCUUAACUUGGGGGGUGCAUCUAAUACUGGAGGGCUAGAGUGCAGGAGAGGAAAGCGGAAUUCCUAGU